rnacentral:rRNA from 1 species
AACGAACGCUGGCGGCGUGCCUAACACAUGCAAGUCGAACGAGAAAGUCCCCUUCGGGGGGCGAGUAAAGUGGCGCAAGGGUGAGUAACACGUGAAUAAUCUACCACCGAAUCUGGGAUAACUCAGCGAAAGUUGGGCUAAUACCAGAUAAGACCACGUCUCUCAUGAGAUGCGGGAAAAGGAGCCUCAACCUCCGUUUGGUGAUGAGUUCGCGGACCAUUAGCUAGUUGGUGAGAUAAAAGCUCACCAAGGCGACGAUGGAUAGCCGGCCUGAGAGGGUGUACGGCCACACUGGAACUUAGACACGGUCCAGACUCCUACGGGAGGCAGCAGUGAGGAAUAUUGCGCAAUGGGCGAAAGCCUGACGCAGCGACGCCGCGUGAAGGAUGAAGGUCUUCGGAUUGUAAACUCCUUUUGUAGGGGAAAAUAAUGAUGGUACCCUAUGAAUAAGCCACGGCUAACUCUGUG